CAGCACUGUGUUGUGACAAAGGGAAAGUACCACUUCAAGGUGUCUGGGCUCCCAAGCAACUGCUGUCUUGGAUAACACUCAUACAACUGGCAUUCCCACAUUUUCCCACUGACCUGCUGGAACCUCACAAAUUCAGCUCUAAUUCAAGUAAGGAAGGCUUUUUUUUCCCUUGCUGGAUGGGAAGAAGGAAAUCACCAAGGAAAGACAACUGUCAGGGGCAGGAAAGGAAGUCUGAAAUUGGAGCUGGAAGCAAGAAGUUCUGCCAAUGGUGAGAUGGAAUUGGUCCAACAGUGAAACAUGAAGAACAGAAGGCUUUUACCUGUUGCAAGAGACAUGUGACAAUCAGAGAUAAAAUAAGGACCCUGGGGCCUUGCUAUACAAUCAGACUGCACAUGCAGUGAGGGAGAAUAUACAGCAAAUGCAAAGUGAGAAGUCCUUCCUGUCUGUAU